GCGAAAGCGUUAAGCAUCCCACCUGGGGAGUACGCCGGCAACGGUGAAACUCAAAGGAAUUGACGGGGGCCCGCACAAGCGGAGGAACAUGUGGUUUAAUUCGAUGAUACGCGAGGAACCUUACCCGGGCUUGAAUUGCAGGAGAACGAUCCAGAGAUGGUGAGGUCCUUCGGGACUCCUGUGAAGGUGCUGCAUGGUUGUCGUCAGCUCGUGCCGUGAGGUGUCGGCUUAAGUGCCAUAACGAGCGCAACCCCUUUCCUCAGUUGCCAUCAGGUAGAGCUGGGCACUCUGGGGACACUGCCACCGCAAGGUGUGAGGAAGGUGGGGAUGACGUCAAAUCAGCACGGCCCUUACGUCCGGGGCUACACACGUGUUACAAUGGGGGGUACAGAGAGCCGGUGGCGCGCAAGCUCCAUCCAAUCCUUAAAGCCCUCCUCAGUUCGGACUGGGGUCUGCAACCCGACCCCACGAAGCUGGAUUCGCUAGCAAUCGCGCAUCAGCCAUGGCGCGGUGAAUACGUUCCCGGGCCUUGUACACACCGCCCGUCAAGCCAUGAAAGCCGGGGGUGCCUGAAGUCCGUGACCGGAAGGAUCGGCCUAGGGCAAAACUGGUGAUUGGGGCUAAGUCGUAACAAGGUA
rnacentral:rRNA from 1 species